AACUGCCAGUGAUAAACUGGAGGAAGGUGGGGAUGACGUCAAGUCAUCAUGGCCCUUACGACCAGGGCUACACACGUGCUACAAUGGCGCAUACAAAGAGAAGCGACCUCGCGAGAGCAAGCGGACCUCAUAAAGUGCGUCGUAGUCCGGAUUGGAGUCUGCAACUCGACUCCAUGAAGUCGGAAUCGCUAGUAAUCGUGGAUCAGAAUGCCACGGUCCGAAUACGUUCCGGGCCUU
rnacentral:rRNA from 1 species